CCUGAUCCCGUCCCGAACUCAGAAGUGAAACCUCUUAGCGCUGAUGGUAGUGUGGGAUUACCCAUGUGAGAGUAAGUCAUCGCCAGCU
rnacentral:rRNA from 1 species